GACGAACGCUGGCGGCGUGCCUAAUACAUGCAAGUAGAACGCUGAAGGAGGAGCUUGCUUCUCUGGAUGAGUUGCGAACGGGUGAGUAACGCGUAGGUAACCUGCCUGGUAGCGGGGGAUAACUAUUGGAAACGAUAGCUAAUACCGCAUAAUAGUAGAUGUUGCAUGACAUUUGCUUAAAAGGUGCAAUUGCAUCACUACCAGAUGGACCUGCGUUGUAUUAGCUAGUUGGUGAGGUAACGGCUCACCAAGGCAACGAUACAUAGCCGACCUGAGAGGGUGAUCGGCCACACUGGGACUGAGACACGGCCCAGACUCCUACGGGAGGCAGCAGUAGGGAAUCUUCGGCAAUGGACGGAAGUCUGACCGAGCAACGCCGCGUGAGUGAAGAAGGUUUUCGGAUCGUAAAGCUCUGUUGUAAGAGAAGAACGAGUGUGAGAGUGGAAAGUUCACACUGUGACG
rnacentral:rRNA from 1 species